rnacentral:rRNA from 1 species
CCUGAUAAGUUGCUGCUGGUUCUCUAGGGAGCAUGUGCACACUUGUCAUCUUUGUAUCUUCACCUGUGCAUCUUUUGUAGACCUGACUAUCUCUCUGAAUGCUUAUGGCACUCAGGAUUGAGAAUUGACUUCUUGUCUUUUCUUAUAUGUUAGGUCUAUGUUUCUUCAUAUACCCUAUGUAUGUUUAUAGAAUGUAAUCAAUGGGCCUUUGUGCCUAUAAACCUUUACAACUUUCAGCAACGGAUCUCUUGGCUCUCGCAUCGAUGAAGAACGCAGCGAAAUGCGAUAAGUAAUGUGAAUUGCAGAAUUCAGUGAAUCAUCGAAUCUUUGAACGCACCUUGCGCUCCUUGGUAUUCCGAGGAGCAUGCCUGUUUGAGUGUCAUUAAUAUAUCAACCUUUUUGGGUUGGAUGUGGGUUUGCUGGCCUUUUGAGGUCAGCUCCCCUUAAAUGCAUUAGCGGACAACAUUUUGCCAACUGUUCAUUGGUGUGAUAAUUAUCUACGCUAUUGACAUGAAGCAAAGUUCAGCUUCUAAUAGUCCAUUGACUUGGACAA